rnacentral:rRNA from 1 species
UACGAAGGGGGCUAGCGUUGCUCGGAAUCACUGGGCGUAAAGGGUGCGUAGGCGGGUCUUUAAGUCAGGGGGGAAAUCCUGGAGCUCAACUCCAGAACUGCCUUUGAUACUGAGGAUCUUGAGUUCGGGAGAGGUGAGUGGAACUGCGAGUGUAGAGAUGAAAUUCGUAGAUAUUCGCAAGAACACCAGUGGCGAAGGCGGCUCACUGGCCCGAUACUGACGCUGAGGCACGAAAGCGUGGGGAGCAAACAGG